rnacentral:sRNA from 1 species
UUACGUGACGAAGCCCGCGCCAAAGUGGACAAUAAGGGCUGAGCCUCGCCUGUUUCCCAAAAACGCCGGUUUAGCCGGCGUUUUUU